GAUUAUUAAUUGAAUGUGAAUUAGAAUAUAAUACUCCUAUCUUGCCAUUAAAGAAAUCCAGUGGGAAAAAUUACAGAGUAGUUCAAGAUCUCAGAGCAAUCAACAAAAUUGUGGAGGAUAUUCAUCCAGUAGUACCUAAUCUGUAUACUUUAUUGACUAAAUUGAAAACUAACCAGGAGUGGUUUAAUGUUCUGGACUUAAAGGAUGCAUUUUUCUGUCUGCCCCUGGCCAAAGAAAGUCAACAUUUAUUUGCUUUUGAAUGGGAAAACCCUGAAACAGGAAGAAGGACAGCUCACCCGCUCACCCGGAGGGUGUUACCUCAGGGAUUUAAAAACAUUCUGACCAUUUUUGGAAAUCAGUUGGCACUAGAAUUAGAAUUCUGGGAAGCACCCACCCAGACAGGAACUUUACUACAGUAUGUGGAUGACCUGUUAAUUGCUACCAAAACUGAGAAAGAAUGUGUUCAAUGGAUUGUAGAAGUGUUAAACUUUCUGGGGCUAAAUGGAUACCGGGUAUCUAAAUUGAAGGCUCAACUAAUUCGAACUCAAGUAUCUUAUUUAGGAUGCAAAAUAACAGGAGGACAACCAGAACUUGGAGCAGCUAAGAAGGAAGCAAUCUGCCAAACACUGUGACCAUCCACAGUUAAAGAUAUCCGGACAUUUCUGGGAAUGACAGGAUGGUGUCAACUCUGGAUCCAUGAUUAUGGUGUUCUGCAUCUUUCCUUCAGGAAACCCCUACUGAACUGUUGACUCACGAUUGCUUGGCCACUAUAGAGACAGUAUAUUUGAGCUAACCAGAUUCUGAAGGAGGAGCCUCUGAAGGGUGCAGAUUCCUGGUUCACUGAUGGCAGCAGCUUUGUUAAAGAUGGUUAACGAUGCCAUAACUACAACUUCAAAGAUAAUAGAAGCUAAACCUUUACCCCCUAACACCUCAGCACAAAAGGCAGAAAUAAUAGCCUUGACUAGAGCCUUGGAGUCGGCAAAGGACAAGCAGAUAAACAUAUGGACUGAUUCCAAAUAUGCCUUUGGUGUAGUUCAUGCACAUGGAGCAAUUUGGAAAGAAGGAGGACUUUUUAAAUACCCAUGGAAGACAAAUUAAACAUGCAGCAGAAAUUCUAUGAUUGUUAGAAGCUGUACAAUUACCCAAUGAAGGGGCUAUCGUACAUUGUAAAGGACAUCAAAGAGGUAACUGAUCAAGAGAUUGGAAAUAAUGUGGCUGAUCGUGAGGCUAAACAGGCAGCAGAAACAGAAAGGGUUGAGGUGAUGUCCUUAAUUCCUGACAGUAAACUGGUAAUUGAGCAAAAUAAACCUAGGUACUCUAAAGAAGAUACAAAACUAACUGAAGACUUGGAAGGACAGGAAAAUGAAAAGGGUUGGAUAAAAAUACCUGAUGGGCAAACAGUGAUCCCCUAUAAUCAAUUAUGGAAGUUGAUACAAGAAGAACAUAACACACUGGGGAAGUAAUGCCUUGUAUAAACAUUUAAACAAACAGAUCAUAGGAAGAAAUUUCUGUACCAUAGUGCAAUUAGUGACAAAAGAAUGUCAACUGUGUCUGAAAAAUAACCCUAAGACUGAAAACAUGAAUCAGGUAGGGACAAUUGGAAAAGUGAAUUAUCUGGGACAACAGUGGCAAAUAGAUUUUUCUGAAUUACCUAGAAAAGGAGGUUAUUGAUAUUUGUUGGUAUUAACAGAUACUUUUUCAGGGUGGCCAGAAUCAUUCCCUUGUGGAAUAAAUAAUGCAAGACGAGUAAUUAAAACAUUAUUAAACGAUAUAAUACCUUGUUUUGGAGUACCGGAAGCAAUUUCUUCCAACCGAGGCUUACACUUUAGCGCAAAAUAGUUAUAAGAAAUAAGCAAAAAAUUAGGAAUUGAUUGGCAACUACAUGUUUCAUACAGGCCUCAGGCCAGUGGGCGAGUAGAAAAGAUGGUUCAUCUGAUCAAACAACAGAUUGGUAAAAUAUGUCAGGAAAUGAAUUAAUAUUGGUACCAAGGUUUACCACUGGCUCUAUUAAGAAUUCGAACUAAACCUUGGUCGGAAGAAGCAGCUAGACCAUGUAAAAUUUUAUAUGGAAGACCAUAUCAGUCCCAGUUUAAAGGAGAAAGUCUUCUGGAAGUGGGAGAAGGCUAUCUCUGAGAGUUUCUGGUCAAUCUGGGAAAACAAUUAGAAGAAAUAUGAGAACACUGGGGACAAGAGUGAGAAGCAUGAAUUACCCGACUCACCCUUUUAGAUCCAGAGACUGGGUCUAUGUUAAGAAUUUUUCAGGAGAUUCUCUACAGGAGAAAUAGAGCGGACUGUACGAGAUAAUAUUGACCACCUUUACAGCAGUGAAGAUACAGGAACAACCUGCUUGGAUACAUUAUUCAAGAACCAGAAACACAUCAGAACAGAGAAAAAGUAUGGCAUGUUGAGUCUUCAGGACCCACACAUACGAGACUACAUCGAUCAUAAUUUGAACUUGUAUAAUAAUAGGUAUAGAAGCAUGGAAUCAAAAUCUGUAUCUGAGACUGAUACAAAAUGUUACUAAUGUCUUAAACAGGAGUGAUUGUUGGGUCUGUACUCAGCUACCUAAAUCAGGAGAGAGACUGGGUAUUCCUUUAAUUGGCCUCCCUAUCCCCUUUAACACAAAUUGGAAUAGAUUAUGGAGAGAUGCUCUUUACGCCUACAAGGGCCAUACAAAUUUACAGGUUUUAAGGAUACAAGCCUCAAAUAUGUCAGAAGUUAAAUGUGUAACCACUAACAAAACUCUUAAUCAAGGCAACAUGUCAGUAGGAAAUUA